rnacentral:lncRNA from 1 species
UUAUAUUGUAGUGUGCUACACAUACCACAACAAAUUUUUCUUGUACAAAGGACCAAAAUUUUAAAAUAGAACACUAUUUGUUUCAGUCAGCCAAAUCAAUAAUUUUAGAGAUCAUCUUCAAUAUAAUUGUAAUUUUGUGAGUUUUAUGCAUGUGACAUUUUUUUGUUGAUGCUAAAUUGAUGCUAAAUUGAUGCUAAAUUGUUUUAGCACUAUAAAAUCUAAAGAAUUUUGCUAAUCUUUAAGAAUUUAUCUUAUAUCCUCUUAUUGAUUUUUUUCUAUUAAACUAAACUUGGCUUCCAUUCAUGCUACAAAGAAAAAAACUUAUUGGUCAAAAAAAAUCUUUUCACACCUCAACUCCAAUUAAAUACUUCAUAUUAGAGGGCAAAUAACGUGAAACAGUUAUUUAUUUUUUUUUUAAUUUUUUUUUUCUCUCUCCAAAAAUUCUUAAUCUUAUGAAAUAUAAACUUUCAUUUUUCUAAAACAGCAUACAUUGGACCAAGAUUAGGAAUGUUUCAUAAAAAUUAUCUUUUGUGUGUUUUAAAUGCUAUUACAUACUUCAAAUACUUUAAAAUCAUUACAAAAAUAUAAUCAAGAUCUACAUUGGUAUUUGGAAAUUAUUCUUUUUAAGCUUUAAAUACAGAUGGAUGUGUGUGUAUAUAUAUAUAUAUAUAUAUAUAUAUAUAUGAUAUGUUAAAAAAACACAGUUUAUUAUAGAUAAAUAAUUCAGUAAAUAAGUUAUCUUCCAAAAAUUAUAAUUUUAUUUUUUGAAUAGAAAUAAAUCAAGGAUACUUAAAAUUUGUCAAAAUUUGUUAAUGUUUGACAUAUUACCAUAAUAUUUGUAAAGAUUUCUAAAUUCUUCUGUAGAAUAGUUUUAGAAUUCUUGCUUUCAUAAAAUUAUUCUAAAGAACUGAUUAAAGUAUUAAAAUUUGUGGGAAACCAAUUUUCAAGUUAAGUUUUAUUUUAAUAUUAAUAUUUUAAUAACAUUCAAAUAAAAAAAAAACAAACCUGCUUAAUAAUAUUAAAAAAAAUUUGAGAUUAAGAUUAUAAAUAAACUCAAUGCAGUUCUUUAAACUUAACAUUAAAUUUGAAACAUAUAAAUGUUUUUAAUUCGGUUCUUA